rnacentral:misc_RNA from 1 species
UAUUCUCAACCUCCUCCAGUUUAUUGGUGUGGGGCUUGGAUAUGGAGGUGUUGCGGGCUCUUUCUUGGGUCAGCUCCUCUGAAAUGUAUUAGCGGAACGCGUUUGUGAUCCAUCACAGGUGUGAUAAUUAUCUACGCCAAUGGGAUUGCUCUCUGCCUGUUCAGCUUCCAAUCGUCCCCUCUUCUUGGGACAAUAUUUUGAAC